rnacentral:rRNA from 1 species
UUGGAGGGCAAGUCUGGUGCCAGCAGCCGCGGUAAUUCCAGCUCCAAUAGCGUAUAUUAAAGUUGUUGCAGUUAAAAAGCUCGUAGUUGAAUUUCGGGGUCAGUAGGUUGGCCAUGCCACUGGUAUGUACUGGUCUCACUGAUUCCUCCUUCCUGAUGAACUGUAAUGCCAUUAAUUUGGUGUUGCAGGGAAUCUGGACUGUUACUUUGAAAAAAUUAGAGUGUUUAAAGCAGGCUAACGCCUGAAUACAUUAGCAUGGAAUAAUGAAAUAGGACGUUCGAUCCUAUUUUGUUGGUUUCUAGGAUUGACGUAAUGAUUAAUAGGGAUAGUUGGGGCAUUAGUAUUCAAUUGUCAGAGGUGAAAUCCUUGGAUUUAUUGAAGACUAACUACUGCGAAAGCAUUUGCCAAGGAUGUUUUCAUUAAUCAAGAACGAAAGUUAGGGGAUCGAAGACGAUCAGAUACCGUCGUAGUCUUAACCAUAAACUAUGCCGACUAGGGAUCGGAUGAUGUUAAUUUUUAAUG